UACGGGGGGGGCAAGCGUUGUUCGGAAUUACUGGGCGUAAAGGGCUCGUAGGCGGCCAACUAAGUCAGACGUGAAAUCCCUCGGCUUAACCGGGGAACUGCGUCUGAUACUGGAUGGCUUGAGUUUGGGAGAGGGAUGCGGAAUUCCAGGUGUAGCGGUGAAAUGCGUAGAUAUCUGGAGGAACACCGGUGGCGAAGGCGGCAUCCUGGACCAUUACUGACGCUGAGUGAGCGAAAGCCAGGGGAGCAAACGGG
rnacentral:rRNA from 1 species